GAUGAACGCUGGCGGCGUGCCUAAUACAUGCAAGUCGAGCGAACGGACGAGAAGCUUGCUUCUCUGAUGUUAGCGGCGGACGGGUGAGUAACACGUGGAUAACCUACCUAUAAGACUGGGAUAACUUCGGGAAACCGGAGCUAAUACCGGAUAAUAUUUUGAACCGCAUGGUUCAAAAGUGAAAGACGGUCUUGCUGUCACUUAUAGAUGGAUCCGCGCUGCAUUAGCUAGUUGGUAAGGUAACGGCUUAUCAAGGCAACGAUGCAUAGCCGACCUGAGAGGGUGAUAGGCUCGACUGGAACGGAGACACGGUCCAGACUCCUACGGGAGGCAGCGGUAGGGAAUCUUCCGCAAUGGGCGAAAGCCUAACGGAGCAACGCCACGUAAGUGAUAAAGUUCUUCGGAUCGUAAAACUCUGUUAUUAGGGAAGAACAUAUGUGUAAGUAACUGUGCACAUCUUGACGGUACCUAAUCAGAAAGCCACGGCUAACUACGUG
rnacentral:rRNA from 1 species